AACGAACGCUGGCGGCGUGCUUAACACAUGCAAGUCGAACGAGAAAAUUCCCUUCGGGGAGUGAGUAAAGUGGCAGACGGGUCAGUAACACGUGGACAACCUGCCCCUAGGUGGAGGACAACUUGUCGAAAGACGGGCUAAUACUCCAUAAGACCACAGCUUCUUCGGAAGCAGCGGUCAAAGGUGGUGCAAAUUAUCGCCAAGGGAUGGGUCCGCGGACCAUUAGCUUGUUGGUGAGGUAACGGCUCACCAAGGCUCAGAUGGUUAGCUGGUCUGAGAGGACGAUCAGCGACACUGGAACUGAGACACGGUCCAGACUUCUACGGAAGGCAGCAGUGGGGAAUCUUGGACAAUGGGCGAAAGCCUGAUCCAGCAACGCCGCGUGAGUGAUGAAGGCCCCCGGGUUGUAAAGCUCUGUCGGUGGGAACGAAUCUGGCUGUUAACACCAGCCACUGACGGUACCCAUAAAGGAAGCACCGGCUAACUCCGUG
rnacentral:rRNA from 1 species